GACGAACGCUGGCGGCGUGCCUAAUACAUGCAAGUUGAGCGAUGAAGAUUGGUGCUUGCACCAAUUUGAAGAGCAGCGAACGGGUGAGUAACGCGUGGGGAAUCCGCCUUUGAGCGGGGGACAACAUUUGGAAACGAAUGCUAAUACCGCAUAACAACUUUAAACAUAAGUUUUAAGUUUGAAAGAUGCAAUUGCAUCACUCAAAGAUGAUCCCGCGUUGUAUUAGCUAGUUGGUGAGGUAAAGGCUCACCAAGGCGAUGAUACAUAGCCGACCUGAGAGGGUGAUCGGCCACAUUGGGACUGAGACACGGCCCAAACUCCUACGGGAGGCAGCAGUAGGGAAUCUUCGGCAACGGACGAAAGUCUGACCGAGCAACGCCGCGUGAGUGAAGAAGGUUUUCGGAUCGUAAAACUCUGUUGGUAGAGAAGAACGUUGGUGAGAGUGGAAAGCUCAUCAAGUGACGGUAACUACCCAGAAAGGGACGGCUAACUACGUG
rnacentral:rRNA from 1 species